rnacentral:rRNA from 2 species
CUGGUGUCAGCCGCCGCGGUAAUACCAGCACCUCGAGUGGUCAGGACGUUUAUUGGGCCUAAAGCAUCCGUAGCCGGCUUUGCAAGUCUUCGGUUAAAUCCACCUGCUCAACAGAUGGGCUGCUGGAGAUACUACAAAGCUAGGGAGUGGGAGAGGCAGACGGUAUUCAGUGGGUAGGGGUAAAAUCCUCUGAUCCAUUGAGGACCACCAGUGGCGAAGGCGGUCUGCCAGAACACGUUCGACGGUGAGGGAUGAAAGCUGGGGGAGCAAACCGGAUUAGAUACUCGGGUAGUCCCAGCUGUAAACGAUGCAAACUCGGUGAUGCAUUGGCUUAUGGCCAAUGCAGUGCCGCAGGGAAGCCGUUAAGUUUGCCGCCUGGGAAGUACGGACGCAAGUCUGAAACUUAAAGGAAUUGGCGGGGGAGCACCACAAGGGGUGAAGCCUGCGGUUCAAUUGGAGUCAACGCCAGGAAUCUUACCCGGGGAGACAGCAGAAUGAAGGUCAAGCUGAAGACUUUACCAGACAAGCU